AGUGAACGCUGGCGGCAGGCCUAACACAUGCAAGUCGAGCGGCCGCGGGUCCUUCGGGAUGCCGUCGUGCUACGGACGGGUGAGUAAUGCGUCGGAAUCUGCCUUAUCUUGGGGGCUAACGUAGGGAAGCUUACGCUAAUACCACAUCCGACCUACUGUUGAAAGGCGUGGUCCGCAAGUCCUCACGCAUCAAGAUGAGCCGACGACGCAUUAGCUAGUUGGCGGGGUAACGGCCCACCAAGGCGACGAUCCGUAGCUGGUCUGAGAGGAUGAUCAGCCACACUGGAACUGAGACACGGUCCAGACUCCUACGGGAGGCAGCAGUGGGGAAUAUUGGACAAAGGGCGCAAGCCUGAUCCAGCCAUGCCGCGUGUGUGAAGAAGGCCUUCGGGUUGUAAAGCACUUUUGUCCGGAAAGAAAACCUGUCGGCUAAUACGCGGCGGGGAUGACGGUACCGGAAGAAUAAGCACCGGCUAACUUCGUG
rnacentral:rRNA from 1 species